rfam:Dipodomys ordii contig_8594, whole genome shotgun sequence.
GGGGAGGUGGCUCAGUGGUAGAGCGCUUGCCCUACAUGCCUGAGGCCCUGGGUUCGAUUCCCCAGCACCACUU